UGGGGAAUUUUACGCAAUGGUGGAAACCCUGACGUAGCGACACCGCGUGAGCGAAGAAGCCUUUUGGGGUGUAAAGCUCUGUCAGCUGGAACGAACACAAUGACGGUACCAGCAGAGGAAGCAUCGGCUAACUACGUGCCAGCAGCCGCGGUAAGACGUAGGAUGCAAGCGUUGUCCGGAUUCAUUGGGCGUAAAGAGUUCGUAGGUGGUCUGUUAAGUUUGGUGUUAAAGAGCGGGGCCCAACCCCGAUAGUGCACUGAAUACUGGCAGACUUGAGUGCGGUAGAGGUAAGUGGAAUUCCAAGUGUAGCGGUGAAAUGCAUAGAUAUUUGGAAGAACACCGGUGGCGUAAGCGACUUACUGGGCCGUAACUGACACUGAGGAACGAAAGCCGGGGUAGCGAAUG
rnacentral:rRNA from 1 species